GAUGAACGCUGGCGGCGUGCUUAACACAUGCAAGUCGAGCGAUGAAGUUUCCUUCGGGAAACGGAUUAGCGGCGGACGGGUGAGUAACACGUGGGUAACCUGCCUCAUAGAGUGGAAUAGCCUUCCGAAAGGAAGAUUAAUACCGCAUAACGUUGAAAGAUGGCAUCAUCAUUCAACCAAAGGAGCAAUCCGCUAUGAGAUGGACCCGCGGCGCAUUAGCUAGUUGGUGGGGUAACGGCCUACCAAGGCGACGAUGCGUAGCCGACCUGAGAGGGUGAGCGGGCACAUUGGGACUGAGGCACGGCCCAGACUCCUACGGGAGGCAGCAGUGGGGAGUAUUGCACAAUGGGGGAAACCCUGAUGCAGCGACGCCGCGUGAGUGAUGAAGGUUUUCGGAUCGUAAAGCUCUGUCUUUGGGGAAGAUAAUGACGGUACUCAAGGAGGAAGCCACGGCUAACUACGUGCCAGCCGCCGCCGUAA
rnacentral:rRNA from 1 species